AAUCCAUGUUGAGGACAUUUUCAAAUUAGUUCUUUGAACCUUUCCCAUGUCUCAAAUAGAGACUCCAAUUCCGUUUGCAUGAAGGACGAGAUCUCAUUCCUAAGCUU